GACAGAAAAGGCCCAGUUCGUCCUUUGGGACCUCUUGUAUAAAAGUGCAUCUUGAAAGUAUCUCCGAGGAGUGCCAGCAAGCUCUUUUAACUCUCGACAACACUGCAAGCAUUGUGCGGCUCUACAGACGGGUAAUGGGGCCAGGGGGAGGCUGGAGCCCAUCUCAGCGGCUAUCAGACUGCACACAGUAAAUGACGGCAUAUGAGUUAUUGUACCGUAUCCCUGUGGCUGCCCGCUGUAACCUUGUUGGGAGGA